rnacentral:misc_RNA from 1 species
UCGAGUUUUGAAGUGGGCUGCUUGAGCUGGCACGCAGGUGCUCAGCGGCUCCGCUCUCAUCCACUCAACCCCUGUGCACCUUGAACGAGAGUUGGUCCCGAUGCUGCAUAGCAGAAGGGUCAUUCUUGUUUCUUACAAACUCUUUAUAUUGUCUUGUAAUGCAUUGCCUCUUUGUGGGCGAAAUGUUAAUA